UACGUAGGGGGCAAGCGUUGUCCGGAAUCAUUGGGCGUAAAGCGCGUGUAGGCGGCUCGGUAAGUCUGCUGUGAAAGCCCAGGGCUCAACCCUGGGAUGCCGGUGGAUACUGUCGAGCUCGAGUCCGGAAGAGGCGAGUGGAAUUCCCGGUGUAGUGGUGAAAUGCGUAGAUAUCGGGAGGAACACCAGUGGCGAAGGCGACUACCUGGCCUGUUCUUGACGCUGAGGCGCGAAAGCUAGGGGAGCAAACGGG
rnacentral:rRNA from 1 species